AACGAACGCUGGCGGCAUGCCUAACACAUGCAAGUCGAACGAGACCUUCGGGUCUAGUGGCGCACGGGUGCGUAACGCGUGGGAAUCUGCCCUUGGGUUCGGAAUAACAGUGAGAAAUUACUGCUAAUACCGGAUGAUGACGAAGGUCCAAAGAUUUAUCGCCCUAGGAUGAGCCCGCGUAGGAUUAGCUAGUUGGUAAG
rnacentral:rRNA from 1 species